GUUGCAGUUAAAAAGCUCGUAGUUGGAUUUCUGGGAGGGUGCUAAUGCCCGCCGUAGCGCGCGCGCAGCAGCGCCCUUCCAUCCUUCUGUUAACGCCUCUUGGCAUUCAUUUGCUGGUGGCGGGCUCAGAUAUUUUACCUUGAGAAAAUUAGAGUGUUUCAGGCAGGCUAGGCCGGAAUACAUUAGCAUGGAAUAAUGGAAUAGGACUACGGUCUCUUUGUUGGUUUGAGGGACUGCAGUAAUGAUUAAUAGGGAUAGUUGGGGGCAUUAGUAUUUAAUUGUCAGAGGUGGAAUUCUCGGAUUUGUUAAAGACUAACUUAUGCGAAAGCAUUUGCCAAGGAUGUUUUCAUUAAUCAAGAACGAAAGUUAGGGGAUCAAAGACGAUCAGAUACCGUCCUAGUCUUAACCAUAAACUAUGCCGACUCGGGAUCGGGGGCGCGAACUAUCCGCCUUCGGCACCGUAUGAGAAAUCAAAGUCUUUGGGUUCUGGGGGGAGUAUGGU
rnacentral:rRNA from 1 species